AGCGUUGUUCGGAAUUACUGGGCGUAAAGCGCACGUAGGCGGAUAUUCAAGUCAGGGGUGAAAUCCCGGGGCUCAACCCCGGAACUGCCCUUGAAACUGGUUGGCUAGAAUCCUGGAGAGGCGAGUGGAAUUCCGAGUGUAG
rnacentral:rRNA from 1 species